UUAAGUUCAGCGGGUAGUCCUACCUGAUUCGAGGCCAAAAUGAGAUGAAAACGAUUGUCCUCACGGACGGUUAGAGGCCGUUUGACCUCCCGGUCCAGCGCCUCGCGGCAUCGACGUAGAUGUGAUUAUCACGCCGAAAACUGAAGUCGGGAGAGUCAGCUAAUGCAUUUGAGACGAGCCGAACCCGUGGGGGGCCCAGC
rnacentral:misc_RNA from 1 species